rnacentral:rRNA from 1 species
GUCUACGACCACGCGACCCUGAACAAGCCCGAUUCCUUCUGAUCUCGGAAGUUAAGCAGGGUCGGGCCUGGUUAGUAUUUGAAUGGGAGCCCACCUAGGAAGACCAGGUGCUAUAGGCA